rnacentral:ncRNA from 1 species
UAAAAGCAGUUAACGGUGCCGCUAGCAAGAGAUUGUUAGAUGGAAUAGGGGUUAAUUCAGGGAAGCCUUAACGGGUAGCGCCGAUGGUAAUCCUGAGCCAAGCCAAGUGAACGGUUUAAAAGUAACUUGGAAGGUGCAGAGACUAAGAAGUGAGGAAACCAACCAAUAAGCUUCUACUAACGCCCCUCACCCGACUCCUAAAUUAAUUUGGGAAGGGUGGUGAGAUAGUCCUACUACUUUGGGAAACCAGAGG